GAUGAACGUUGGCGGCGUGGAUUAGGCAUGCAAGUCGUGCGGAAGUGGCCCGCAAGGGUUACUUCAGCGGCGAAAGGGAGAGUAAUACGUAGGUACCUACCCCUGGAACCGGGAUAGCUGCGGGAAACUGCAGGUAAUACCGGAUAACGUCUCCGGACCAAAGGUGUGAUUCCGUCCGGGGAGGGGCCUGCGUCCUAUUAGCUAGUUGGUGAGGUGAUGGCUCACCAAGGCAAAGAUGGGUACGGGGUAUGAGAGCAUGCCCCCGCUCACUGGGACUGAGACACUGCCCAGACACCUACGGGUGGCUGCAGUCGAGGAUCUUCGGCAAUGGGGGAAACCCUGACCGAGCGACGCCGCGUGUGGGAUGAAGGCCCUCGGGUUGUAAACCACUGUCAGAGGGGAUGAAAUGCUAUGGGGUUCUCUCCAUAGUUUGACAUAUCCUCAGAGGAAGGACGGGCUAAGUUCGUGCCAGCCGCCGCCGUAA
rnacentral:rRNA from 1 species